rnacentral:misc_RNA from 1 species
UGUGGGAGUGAGCCUGCUCGCGAUGGCGGCGGCACAUCUUGUAUCUAUAUGACAGAAAGACCGCUAUCGCGAGCAGGCUCACUCCCACA